CGCCUAAACCCCGAUCUAAUCUAGCGCACGAGUACAGAGAAGGCCGCCGCCCUACGUCUCCUCUGACCUAAUCAACAGGAGAGGGCAUCGCCACCCAGCAGCAGGUUCGCCCUCGACGGGAGGGAGUCGUCGCCGCCAAGACGACGCCGACUGCGCACGACUACGGGAUCAACUCGCUCCUCCAUCCAUCCAGUCUAUAGGGUGCCGGCCUCGGGUCGCGAGAGGGGGGGCGGCGCCACACCCUGCUCCCUGCGCCGCGCCUCCCUCCCUUUGUGCGAGAGUUCUCCCUCCACCGCGGCACCGCCUCCCCUGUCCGAUUUACUCGUGGCCGCCGCCGGUUCCCCGGCCCCUGCUCUGGCAUCGAAUGUGCUGUUCCCAUCCGGAGCGACUACACCGCAUCGGACCGAUCUUCAAGCACACGGAAAUACAUCUUCUCGAGACAGAAGCGGCGGCGUGCGGAAGGUGGUGACCUUGUCCGAGCUAGAUGUGUUUCAUCCAAAUAUAUCCCAAUGGAAGAAAAUAUUGGCUAGUGACAGUCUCGUUCAAGCUAGCAUAUGGAUGGUGUAGGGCUUAACUAGAGGUUAAGGAGGUAAUAUGCUUUGGCUCUCCUCUACAUCAUAUUGGGAUCACGAGGACCUUUCGUUGAGUUAUAGUUGCAGUAUAAUAAAGUUAGGAAUUAUAUGUGUGAAAUUAUGUUUGUUUGUUAGAAAAGUGUCUAUGAAAGUUGUCACAUGAAUUCGAUCGUGUUUUGGGUUUUAUCGUGGCGUUAGCAUAGACAUACUACUAAUUAUAAAUAAUGAUUAUUAUUUUUUACAUAUAUAGCUUUUGCUACAUAUCUAGAUAUAUAUUAGAGUAAAAUAUAUGGAUAAUCCAUUAACUUGUGAGGCUACUCCAAUUUGGUCCAUCAGGUUUGAAAAUGCAUUUUGUUUCCAAAUCUAGAUGAGUGGGUCCAAAUGGAUGGGGGUGCGCCGAUCCGACCGAUGCACAUGAAGGGUAAGCUUGUGAAAGAAAAAUAAAGAUAAGAGGCUUUCUACAAAUAUAAACAUAAAAUAAAGGGGUACAAUAUAGACUCUUUGUGCAACACUAAUCAAGACUUUGGACAAAAAAUACACUUUCAAACCUGAUGGACUAAAUCGAUACAACCUCACAAGUUAAUGGACUAUCUAUACAUUUAUUCUAUAUAAUUUAUCUAGACAUAUAGUAAAAAAAGACCGAACGACUUAUAAUUUGUAUAGAUGGGGUGUGUAUAUAUUUAUGUGCACCGUACCUUUUUCGUGAAGGAUCUGCACCAUACCCAAUGUUGCAACGACAAUAAAUUGUGAAGACACUUAGCAUUAUGCAUGGUAAAUUAACGUGGGAGUUGAUGUAUGCCACUUGUAUAUGUUCUGUUACCCUCUUUGAGAUACACAAAUAUUGUUGGCGAGCAAAAACAAGAAAGAGAAACAUAUACUUCUACUUUCGUUUACAGGUAGCGCAAUGUUGGGUGGAGCCAACAAGCAAGAUGAAAUCUGUGAGAGUCCCAAAGAGGGAACUCAAGUUUUAGUAUUAUAAGCUC